CUUAGAGCAUUUGCAUAAACACAAACAAAACCACUGAAGAUGGAAGAUGAUAGCAGUGAACUCUGCUCCAAAGGGAGACAGCUUCACCAACCUCAUCACACGGAAGAGACGGAAAAAAGUGAUGGAGAUCCGAGCGCUGUCCUCGGAGUUCUGAAGAGCAUCAUGGAGAAGUCAAACCAAAUACACACUCAAACAUGCAACACUUCCAGAAAAACAACAUAAAAUGCAAAGGUGGAAGAGAACACAACUUCUGUACAACUCAGAUACUGUGGGAAGCACAGCAGAGGACAUGGAAGGCCCCAGCCACAAGCAAGCAAAGCCAGAGUCUGAGAUGUUAGUAAAGCAGGCUCUGUGUCUGACUGCCCACUACAUUUGUAUGGUACAGUUUAUUUUCCUUUAUGUCUGAAUGCACUACAGAGCUUCCUGGAGAAACCAGAGUCAGAAGCAUCAACAUUUUUGGCUGUGAUGUAGCUUCUUGUUUCCUUGUUUACAAUUCCAGAUUUCAGCAGUUCAAGCUCUAGAAUUUCCUGCUUUCCUUGGAUAGCUCAUAAAUUGCUCAGUGCCAAAAUCUUUUGCAAUUUGCAGGAAUGUUGCUUUUCUUAACACAUCCAGUUAUGCCUCUUUAUCCUGUUCUUUAUAAUUCCUCUGCCUCCUAGAAAAACACAAAUGGAGCUGCAGGAGCUGGAGAACCUGCUGCUCAGAGCAUGUGGAAGUUCACUGACUCCCUUCUGCCACAGGUAUACUGGUAACAUAUUUUGAUGGUUUCUCAAAUUCAGAGCUGGGAACUAGUCUGAUUUAAUGCUACAGCUCUUUUCAAUGCUUCAUUCUCUCCUUUAGUUUGGUCUUUCUCUAGCAGCAAACCCCCUGGAUAUUAAUUUUAGUGUGAUACAAAUAUGGAAAAUCUAUAGCAAGCUUCUCACUGCUUAAAAUGUGAAAUAAGGGGAUAAACAUAAAGAAAAUUCACUAACAUAAAAAUAGUCUAUUACUUACAGUACAGCUUAUCUUGUAAACAGCCCAAAUAUUGCACCAAUUAGUAUUAAUCAAAUUGCAUUGUGAAGAGUAUGCACAGCAAUAUGAGCAAAAGCUGGGAGAAGAGAUUUUGUUAAGCUUAAUCCUCAACUGGAAAUGCAUAGUUUAUGUACAGAUUCUUAGUGUGCCAGCAAUUUUUAAGUGUAUAAAUCAGGGUUACUCAACUUGUGGUGAGAAUAAGCACAGCAUGAAACAUUUAUGAAUCGUGCAUAAACCUCUGAGAAAACAUUUUUGCCAAUUUUCAAUGAAAAAUUUUAUUUCCUUGUUCAGCAUUUUGUUUCAUGUGAAGGUAAUUUUUGGUCAUUUAUCUUCUUUACCAGGGUAACUCUUGUAUAUUGAAAAUCUGAGUAACCCAAAUAGAUAUUCUUAAUAAUCAGCACACAAACUAUACAUUAAAAUGCCAAUUUUUGGCUCAUGCAUGGGUAAUACAUUUAAGCAAGCAUAAUUAUGCCUGUCUGUGAAUUUAAAUGUAUGCCCAAGAUAAAUGCAAAGUAUCUUAGUGUAUAGAUAGAUAAAUGCAAGAUAUCUUGCAAGUCCUAUUGCAAGAAAAUAGUUAUCUACUAUUUUAGCUCUGUGGAUAUAGUUCAGCAAAAUAAAAGAGAAGUUACAUGCUCCCUCCUUUUAAGACUGAUUAUCUCUUUCAGAAAUGCCAGAGCAAGGAGAAGGAAAAGCUCAUGCGCAGUGAUUUAUUUUUCCCUUUUCUGAAAACUGCAAGUUUAAAAAGGGUAAAAAAUGAAUUAUUAAACUGAUGUAAUGGUAAAAAACCAGCUUCUUCAUGCACCCAAUGGUAAAAAAAUGACCAAUCAAAACUAUGAGGAACUGUCAAAUAAAAAAUCCUCUAGUUUAAAAAAGUUUAGCUUUGAUCGCUUAGAGAAAAGGCGAAGAACACUUCAAGUGCCUUUUCUUGGCAGGUGACACACAAGGAAAAUCCUUUUAAACAAGCUUCCUUUAAAAAC